GCUCCGGCCGGUCCAGAGCCCGCGGUACAACGGAGGGUUCGUGGGUUAAUCGGUAUUACCGGGCGUAAAGCGAACGCAGGCGGUUGGAUAAGUGAGAUGUGAAAGCCCCGGGCUCAACCUGGGAAUUGCAUUGUGAACUGUCCAGCUAGAGUCGUGAAGAGGGGGGUAGAAUUCCAGGUGUAGCGGUGAAAUGCGUAGAGAUCUGGAGGAAUACCGGUGGCGAAGGCGGCCCCCUGGACAAAGACUGACGCUCAGGUGCGAAAGCGUGGGGAGCAAACAGGAUUAGAUACCCCAGUAGUC
rnacentral:rRNA from 1 species